rnacentral:rRNA from 1 species
UACGAAGGGGGCGAGCGUUGUUCGGAUUUACUGGGCGUAAAGGGCGCGUAGGCGGCGCGAGAAGUCGAGUGUGAAAGCCCCGGGCUCAACCUGGGAAUUGCGCUCGAUACUCUUGUGCUUGAGUUCGGGAGAGGAGCGUGGAAUUCCCAGUGUAGAGGUGAAAUUCGUAGAUAUUGGGAAGAACACCGGUGGCGAAGGCGGCGCUCUGGACCGAGACUGACGCUGAGGAGCGAAAGCGUGGGGAGCGAACAGG